rnacentral:rRNA from 1 species
AACCUCCCUUUCAGCGGGGGAUAACGUUCGGAAACGGACGUUAAUCCCGCAUAACGUUUAUAGUCGCAGGACUAUUAAAUAAAAAGACGGCUCUGCUGUCAAUGAAAAGAUGGACCCGCGGUGCAUUAGUUAGUUGGUAAGAUAACGGCUUACCAAGACGAUGAUGCAUAGCCGACCUGAGAGGGUGAUCGGCCACACUGGGACUGAGACACGGCCCAGACUCCUACGGGAGGCAGCAGUAGGGAAUCUUCCACAAUGGGUGAAAACCUGAUGGAGCAGUGCCGCGUGAAUGAAGAAGGUCUUCGGAUCGUAAAGUUCUGUUAUUAGAGAAGAACAAGUCAAGGAGUAACUGUCUUGACUUUGACGGUACCUAACCAGAAAGUCACGGCUAACUACGUGCCAGCAGCCGCGGUAAUACGUAGGUGACAAGCGUUGUCCGGAAUUAUUGGGCGUAAAGGGAGCGCAGGCGGUUGGAAUAGUCUGAUGUGAAAGCCCACGGCUUAACCGUGGAAGGUCAUUGGAAACUGUCCAACUUGAAUGCAGAAGAGGUAAGUGGAAUUCCAUGUGUAGCGGUGAAAUGCGUAGAUAUAUGGAGGAACACCAGUGGCGAAGGCGACCUACUGGUCUGUAAUUGACGCUGAGGCUCGAAAGCGUGGGUAGCGAACAGGAUUAGAUACCCUGGUAGUCCACGCCGUAAACGAUGAGUGCUAAGUGUUGGAGGGUUUCCGCCCUUCAGUGCUGGAGUUAACGCAUAAGCCACUCCCG